ensembl:lincRNA
CACAUUUCCAUCUCACAGGUGGUCAUUGCAUUGUCUGUCAGGUUUUUCACUGUGGACUCCCACUCCUGAAACUCUUACUUCCUUGUGAAGCUGUUUAUAAAGUCCUGAAGGAAGCCAGGUGUCAAACACUGUACUCCAUGAAACAGCAGUUUUUUCUCUCUAAAGGAGAAAGUACUUUUCAGUUUAAAGCCUCCACUGUGAUGAGAGGCAGAUUUAAAAAUGCAUCUCCUUUGUGACCUAACCUGUUCCCAUUUCAGAUUCUUUACCAGAGAGUGAAUUCCCAAAUCCACGUGGAAGGAGGAGAGGGUGUCAGUGUCUCGGCAGUGGUUGGCAGAGCCCCUCAUGAGGCUGAGCCAGACAGUCCAGGCAGCGGCUCGGCUGACUUGUUGCGCUGGACCACUGCCACCACCAUGAAAGUCCUGUCCAACACCACGACGACCACCAGGGCCAUGCUGCAGGCCAUCAGCAACAGGCAGUGGUGGAAGAGGUCUCUGACUUACCUCCGGCCCCUCCAGGGGCAAGAAUUCGGUGGCUCUUACUCAGCUGGAACUGUAGUCAAUGAAGACCUAGGAAAGCAAGGAUGUCAUCCUUUUUAUGAAUCAGUCAUGGCGAAUCCCUUUGUUGCUGAGUCUGGCAUGCCCUUCGACACCUGUCAGCAGCCCCCUGUGGAGAGCUUUGCCGAGGUGCUGCUGAGGACUGGGAAACUGGCAGAGGCCGAGACAGAUGGGAAUGAAGGGUUUCCGACCACAGAAGUUCUCCUGCAGCUGGCGAGUGAUGCUUUGCCCAGUGACAUGACCUUGGCCCUCGCUUACCUCCUCGCCUUACCACAGGUGUUAGAUGCGAACAGGUACUUUGAGACGCAGGCACACUCAGCCCUGUCCCUCCAGCUGGCAGUGUACUACUACAGCCUCCAGAUCUACGCCCACCUGGUGCCCGGCUUCAGUGACAAGUGCCACCCUCUAUACAGAGCUGACCCCAAAGAGGUGAUCGGGAUGGUCACCAGGCACGUGACUCACUGUGGACUCAAAGCCUGGCCGGAGGCCCUGGCCCCACUCACCGCGCAGCUGCACCACUACAAUGAGCAGCUUCUGGACUUAACACAGGCACAGCUCCUGCAGGGCCUGGGGAAGGGCGUGGACGUGCAGCGCUUCACCACUGAUGACCAGUACAAGAGGGAGACCAUCCUUGGGCUGGCAGAGUAAGGGCACCUUUGUGUCUCGAGGGGCUGGGUCCGAGAUGCGCACAGACGGAGCUGUCAGAAUGCUCGUCUUAGUCCUCUGAUGACCCAUGAGUGCUGCAGCUGUCCAGAGCUUGGCCCCUCCUCCUGGCCAUAGAAGAGAUGCGUAUGUCUUUCCAAACAGCAGUAGAUGCUUGCGACUCAGCAAGUGCUGAGACUGCUGGUUGUAAAGUUCCCCAAGCCUUUGAUUCCCCUGUGCCAGGAGGAUGACAUGGUAGAGGAAGUAGGAGAGGGUCAGAAACAGGUGACAUGAUUACUGAUGGACUUUUAAAAGUCAGAUUGCUGAAAAUCUCACUCUCCCAAGUACAUGUCAAUUAGGCAUGGUGGUGAACGCCUGUAAUCUCAGCUUCUGGGAAGGCUGAGGCAGGAGGAUCUCGAGAUUGAGUGCUGGCAGUUUAAUGUCUGAGUUGUGUAUAAAUUAGAUCCCAUUAACAUAAUAUGCUAGGACCAGACGUGGUCUCUGCAGGUGCCUUUGCCUGCCCUGGGCUUCUGUAAGGAAGAGGAAGAGAGGCCACUACUCUUGUCACCUCUGUCAGAGGCCAGGAGUGGCUGUGCUUCUCCUAUGGGCCUCCUCCCUUCAAGGGAGGUGCAGCCCCUGUGGGAGGGUGGUGCAUUUUGAUGCUUUCUGAGCAGGUGUUGCCUUGGCUUUGAAAACUUAGUGUAUGUUUGCUGUCUAGUUUUGAUCAGUGAGAAGUGCCCCUGUCAGAAGGGGAGGCUGCGCGCCCACCUUCGUUGGUGCUGGUUUGCAACCUGGGAUGUUGUGUUUCUCACACCACAAGUCUCUGAACGCUUAGCAGGGUCAAGGCCUCAGGCAUACUCCAGAGACUUUAUCUGUCACUCGUCCUCCUCGAUGAUGUUGAGAUGGAAUGUGGUUUCCCUGUUUUUAGUUGGGAGAGUGCUCAGGGAUAUGCAGUCAGUGGCCCAAGUUCUGUAGCUGGUAGCUUGCGUCUUUGAGCAGGCGCUGUCCUGAGUCAGAGCGUCACACCUCCUCAAUGCCCUCUUCCUGCCCCUCAAGGCAGCACUGUGCCCGGCCUUGGGACUGAAGUGGAAUCCCUCUCUACAGAGAGUGACUCUGCUCCGUCCGUGGUGUUUUAAACUAACAGUGAGCCUGAUGACAAGAAGGGUGUGUCACCCAUCUUCAUUUACAUCCUUGAGAAAGAAGCUGAGUUGUUGGGAUAGCUGAUAAUUUCAUACUGGCUUGGCCUUGUUUCCCACUAGAGAUGCCUACCCAGGACCAUGCAGGGUGUGGGGAGAUCCCAGGACCAUGCAGGGGUGAGCAGAGAUGUGCAGGGACACGCAGUCCCUGUCACUCACCCUCUUCUCCUGGAGGUUCCUGGUUGUAUAGCCACUCAGUGCCUGGUUUGGCAGCUGUUGUACACUAGAAAAAAGAGCUUCAUUAUCUUUGUAUUAUACCAAAAUACCUGUAAUGUGACUCUAACUGUUCUGUAUAAGUUUUUCUUCUCCCUUCUCCCUCUGGGUGACCUAAUUGAUAUGUUAACCAUUGCGG